rnacentral:rRNA from 1 species
CCUACGGGGGGCAGCAGUGGGGAAUAUUGCACAAUGGGGGAAACCCUGAUGCAGCAACGUCGCGUGAGCGAAGAAGGCCUUCGGGUCGUAAAGCUCUGUCCUAAGGGAAGAAGCAUGACGGUACCUUAGGAGGAAGCCCCGGCUAACUACGUGCCAGCAGCCGCGGUAAUACGUAGGGGGCGAGCGUUAUCCGGAAUCACUGGGCGUAAAGGGUGCGUAGGCGGCCGAUUAAGCCAGGGGUGACAGGCUUCGGCCCAACCGUAGUAAGCCUUUGGGACUGAUGGGCUUGAGUGCAGGGGAGGAUGGUGGGAUUCCUAGUGUAGCGGUUAAAUGAGUGGAGAUUAGGAGGAACACCAGUGGCGAAGGCGACUCUCUGGACUGUAACUGACGCUGAGGCACGAAAGCGUGGGGAGCAAACAGGAUUAGAUACCCUUGUAGUC